AUAAAGGGGAAUCUAUUGGAUCUGAAAUGGAUUUUUAAAACUUCACUGGCUUUUUAUAAAUACUCAGAAGUGGAUUUAAAAAUUUAUGAAACUCUGUGGGUACAGAGUAGAACUUCCCCACAAAAUAAAUAAAUGUUUGCAGGGCUCAAGUUGGAAAAAGUGUCCUUCUGCAGCAAAGGGUGUGGCCCUGGGGUCAGGGAAGCACAAUGAUGAACCAGGAGCAUCUAGGAAGUGACCCGUGCCGAGGGUUUAAAUUCCAGGACACUCUUUCCUUGGACUUCUGGAAAAGUAGAAUGAAGCAGAUAGGUUUAAAUUCUUUCUCUAGGCUGGGCACAGUGGCUCACGCCUGUAAUCCCAGAACUUUGAGAGGCCAAGGUGGGUGAAUCACUUAAGGUCAGGAGUUUGAGACCAGCCUGACCAACAUGGUGAAACCCCAUCUCUACUGAAAAUACAAAAAUUAGCCAGGUGUGGUGGUGCACGCCUGUAGUCCCAGCUACUCGGGAGGCUGAGACACGAGGAUCACUUGAACCCGGGAGGUGGAGGUAAUUGGAUCAUGGGUGCGGUUCCCCCAAGCUGUUCUUGUGAUAGUGAGUUCUCAUGAUAUCUCAUGGUUUUAUAAGCAUCUGGCAUUUCCCCAGCUUGCACUCACUCUAUCCUGCCACCCUUGUGAAGAAGGUGCCUGCUUCUCCUUUACCUUCCGCCAU
rnacentral:lncRNA from 1 species